rnacentral:rRNA from 1 species
AAAGGUAAGCUACUAAGAGCGAAUGGUGGAUGCCUUGACUGGUAAAGGCGAUGAAGGACGUACUAGACUGCGAUAAGCUACGGGGAGCUGUCAAGAAGCUUUGAUCCGUAGAUUUCCGAAUGGGGCAACCCAAUGUAUAGAGAUAUACAUUACCUAUAUAGGAGCGAACGAGGGGAAUUGAAACAUCUUAGUACCCUCAGGAAAAGAAAUCAAUAGAGAUUGCGUCAGUAGCGGCGAGCGAAAGCGCAAGAGGGCAAACCCAGUGCUUGCACUGGGGGUUGUAGGACUGCAAUGUGCAAGAGCUGAGUUUAGCAGAACAUUCUGGAAAGUAUAGCCAUAGAGGGUGAUAGUCCCGUAUGCGAAAAACAAAGCUUAGCUAGCAGUAUCCUGAGUAGGGCGGGAC